GCCCAGGUGGCGAAAUGGCAGACGCGCCAGCUUGAGGGGCUGGUGGCCGCAAGGCCGUGGAGGUUCGAGUCCUCUCCUGGGCACCA
rnacentral:tRNA from 1 species